CACCCCCUGUAGUGUUCGAUAGCGGCCUGGGUAUUUUCUUGAGCCUAAUCGCUACCCCGGGGAUGGCACGGCAAAGCGGUUGUGCAUGUCCGCCUCCGAGCGGAAAGCCUGAAGUGGCGCCAGUCGUCCCCACUUGAACCCUAUGGUUCAAGAACGAGGGCCUGCAACGGCACAGAUGGGGGGUGU
rfam:Allochromatium vinosum DSM 180, complete genome.